rnacentral:misc_RNA from 1 species
GUCCCCGGGCCAAGAUGGCUGCGCGGUGCUCCACACGCUGGUUGCUGGUGGUUGUGGGGACCCCGCGGCUGCCGGCUAUAUCGGGUAGAGGGGCCCGGCCGCCCAGGGAGGGCGUGGUGGGGGCAUGGCUGAGCCGCAAGCUGAGCGUCCCCGCCUUUGCGUCUUCCCUGACCUCUUGCGGCCCCCGAGCGCUGCUGACAUUGAGACCUGGUGUCAGCCUUACAGGUGGAGUCUUGCUCUGUCGCCCAGGCUGGAGUGCAAUGGCGCGAUCUUGGCUCACUGCAACCUCAGCCUCCCAGGUUCAAACAAUUCUCAUGCCUCAGCCUCCCAAGUAGCUGGGAUUACAGGCGUGCACCACCAUGACCGGCUAAUUUUUGUAUUUUUAGUAGAGACAAGAUUUCACCAUGUUGGCCAGCUUGGUCUCGAACUCCUGACCUCAAGUGAUCCACCCGCCUCGGCCUCCCAAAGUGCUGGGAUUACAAUAGGCGUGAGCCA